GUCGCCGUGCUGGUCGGCCUGGCCUGGAGGAGGAGGCUGUCAGGGCCCCAGGCGGAUCUGUACUCGCCGGCGCCGGCCAGCGAGCAUGGAUCGGACAGCUCCAUCACUGCUCUAACAUAGCCGGUCG